AAUCACGAUCAGAAGUCUUGAUCCAGAAAAUCAGCACAGUAUGCUAGUACUGCGCUGAUCCUUCUUCGAUGGUCGAUCAGAUGCCUCCUUCUUCUUGAUUUGGACUCUUCCAAAGAUGAGAAGUAGGAGAAGAAGUUUUAUAUGAGGCACUCUUAGAAAACUUACAGAUGGAGGAAGGGAAGAGAUGAACCCAGCAACUCUAGAAGAUGACCCUCUUCUUCUUCUCUGUGCUCUAACCCAGACACCUAGUUUUGUGUCUAUUAGAUCUCCAUGCCUUAAGAAUUUUUUUUGUGUUUUAGAUGCCCCAA
rnacentral:lncRNA from 1 species